GUCAGGUUUCGGCUGGACGGCUUGCUUGAGGAAGAGGAGUGGCCGGAGAACGAAGAGGGAGAAAUGCUUCAGCAAUUAGCUCUGUCUAUAAAAAACAGAAAAGGAAAAAAAAUUAAAAAAGAAGACGAUGGUGGCAAUUUGGGUUCUUAUACAAGGGUUUGUUUUCCAAAAGGCUUUGGAAGAACUGGAUGUUUGGAUGCUAGAGUCAUCUUGCUAUCAAUGAUCCAUUUAUCACCACUGAUUACAUGUUUAUAGAUGAAAAUGGACGAAGGCAACAUGUGUGGCAGACAUCAUGGGCUAUUAGCAUGCAAAUUGUUGGAGGUACUAUCAUGAUUCAUGGUGAUGGCACUGGCUUAAUGCUUCCACCUAAGCUGGCACCUGUACAGAAAACAGGUGACAGAACUAUAGUUCUUAAUGCUACAUCAUCAGUGAAAGAAAACUCUGCAAGUAGCUGGAAUAAAGGUCAAGGUUGAUGACUCUGAUCAGAGAACACCUGGAUGGAAAUAUAACUUUUGGGAGAUGAAGGUUUGCCCUGCUUCUGUAGAUGUUCUGUAUCUUGCCCAAUAUCUAGCUUGCCAUUGGACUUCUCCCACCAAAGGAUGAGUGACAAUAAGAGAAAUUUAGGGAGAGGAAAAUUCCAAAUGCAUGGCCACAAACAUUGCAAAUGAUUUUUUUCCUGGGAAUAUUAAUGCAUGCGGGACUACAUCUAAACUA